rnacentral:rRNA from 1 species
GACGAACGCUGGCGGCGUGCUUAACACAUGCAAGUCGAACGGAAAGGCCCUGCUUGCAGGGUACUCGAGUGGCGAACGGGUGAGUAACACGUGGGUGAUCUGCCCUGCACUUCGGGAUAAGCCUGGGGAACUGGGUCUAAUACCGGAUAGGAGCCAUUUUUAGUGUGAUGGUUGGAAAGUUUUUUCGGUGUAGGAUGAGCUCGCGGCCUAUCAGCUUGUUGGUUGGGUAAUGGCCUACCAAGGCGGCGACGGGUAGCCGGCCUGAGAGGGUGGACGGCCACAUUGGGACUGAGAUACGGCCCAGACUCCUACGGGAGGCAGCAGUGGGGAAUAUUGCACAAUGGGCGCAAGCCUGAUGCAGCGACGCCGCGUGGGGGAUGACGGCCUUCGGGUUGUAAACUCCUUUCGCUAGGGACGAAGCUUUUUGUGACGGUACCUAGAUAAGAAGCACCGGCUAACUACGUG